rnacentral:rRNA from 1 species
GGCGAACGCUGGCGGCGUGCUUAACACAUGCAAGUCGAACGGAAAGGCCUGCUUUCCCUUGUGGAUUGCGGGUACUCGAGUGGCGAACGGGUGAGUAACACGUGAGUGAUCUGCCCCCAACUUGGGUAUAAGCCUGGGAAACUGGGUCUAAUUCCCGAUAGGACUGCAGGGUGGUGCCUGUGGUGGAAAACGAUUUUCUAGUGGUUGGGGAUGAGCUCGCGGCCUAUCAGCUUGUUGGUGGGGUAAUGGCCUACCAAGGCGGCGACGGGUAGCCGGCCUGGGAGGGUGGACGGCCACAUUGGGACUGAGAUACGGCCCAGACUCCUACGGGAGGCAGCAGUGGGGAAUAUUGCACAAUGGGCGGAAGCCUGAUGCAGCGACGCCGCGUGGGGGAUGACGGCCUUCGGGUUGUAAACUCCUUUCGACCGCGAGGAAGCCACCUGGUUGGAAGGGUGGUGACGGUAGUGGUAGAAGAAGCACCGGCUAACUACGU